CAGUGAGCUUAACUUGGGUGGGUGUGCUUGGCGGCGGUCCUCUCUUCGUUAAUGAUUUCUUGCGUUCAUCAUUCAGUCGCAGAUAUUUGCCAAGAUAGCUCGGAUGGCGUAACUCGAUGUGUCGUUUCAAAUUUGAACUCGAUGUGGCUGACGUACGUACUUGUUUGUUUAGUCCCGGUGGGCACAGUUUGCACAAAAACGUGAGGUUUUUUCCGUCUGAGUCUUCCUUUGUUUGUACAUAAAACUCUGCUAAGUGCUCUUCAAAACUGGCUUCAGCUGUAGCUAAGUUUGAAUCACGUUAACUAGUACUAGCACUAGUCAUGAUGCUGCACCAUCAAGGUGUUUGCUGUAAACAGUCGUGUCGUAAAACCUGAGUUUUCAAAUGAGCGUGAACGUGAACUGCGCAUGCUGCUCAUUCCUGCCAGAGUGAGCGCCGCUCUCGUUCACGUUCAUUGAAUGAAAAGUGACUCGUUCAGUUCAGCGUUCGGCGAAAAUAUGAACGCGUUCAGUGAACGUCGUUCAUUGAACGCGUUCAUGCACAACACUGAAGUAGAGGGACACCAUCUGCCGCCACAAAUGAAGAAUGACCCAACUGCAGCUCUGAGGUAAUUAAGCAGUUUGCUUCUGGUUUAGUUUUGCCCAAGUUUGAUGUGACUGUAACCACAGACAUACAGCGUUGCAGAUGUGGGACUGAAAGUUGAGGCUUGUGCCAAAUACACUUAUGGCCAACCUGUACCUGGUCAAGUGUUUGUGGAAGUGUGCCGUGAGCCUUUUCAAUAUGCUGACGUUCCAGGCGUGUCCCGCCAGUGCCUGAAUAAAACUGUAAAGGUGUGACUUGUCAGACAGAAGUUUCUUUUUUCUUGACUUGACAUGUGCUUGACUUGAAUGUGAAUAUUUGUUCUGCUACCAGAUGAAUGUCACGGGAUGCGCCUCCCAGUGUUGUGCAUGAACGCGUUCAAUGAACGACGUUCACUGAACGCGUUCAUAUUUUCGCCGAACGCUGAACUGAACGAGUCACUUUUCAUUCAAUGAACGUGAACGAGAGCGGCGCUCACUCUGGCAGGAAUGAGCAGCAUGCGCAGUUCACGUUCACGCUCAUUUGAAAACUCAGGUUUUACGACACGACUGUUUACAGCAAACACCUUGAUGGUGCAGCAUCAUGACUAGUGCUAGUACUAGUUAACGUGAUUCAAACUUAGCUACAGCUGAAGCCAGUUUUGAAGAGCACUUAGCAGAGUUUUAUGUACAAACAAAGGAAGACUCAGACGGAAAAAACCUCACGUUUUUGUGCAAACUGUGCCCACCGGGACUAAACAAACAAGUACGUACGUCAGCCACAUCGAGUUCAAAUUUGAAACGACACAUCGAGUUACGCCAUCCGAGCUAUCUUGGCAAAUAUCUGCGACUGAAUGAUGAACGCAAGAAAUCAUUAACGAAGAGAGGACCGCCGCCAAGCACACCCACCCAAGUUAAGCUCACUGCAUUUAGUAAAGGACCUGCUGUUCACUGUUUACUUCCUUUUGAAGGUGUGAAAAUGUGUUGGUUGAGUAUUGCACAUUAAGCAGGGUAAGCCCAAGCUAAGUUUACAUUACAGUACAUGACUACUUUGGUCUGGUUUACAUAGUUACUGCCGUUCAGAAUAUGCUGGAUUUUUGUCAGUAGACUGAUCUUUUCCCCAUGAACCUGAAUAUACCUUAUUUUUAAGUCCUGUAAUUUGGUUCAUGCUGGCUAAAUAAAAGUUUCACUGAACAUACAGUA